rnacentral:rRNA from 1 species
CUGGCUCAGGAUGAACGCUGGCGGCGUGCCUAACACAUGCAAGUCGAACGGUGGUGAUUGAUAUUUCGGAUGGAUAUCACCAUAGUGGCGGACGGGUGAGUAACGCGUGGACAACCUGCCUCGUACUGGGGGAAUAGCAGCUGGAAACGGCUGGUAAUACCGCAUAAGCGCACGGCGCCGCAUGGCGCUGUGUGAAAAGAUUUAUCGGUACGAGAUGGAUCCGCGUCUGAUUAGCCAGUUGGCGGGUAACGGCCCACCAAAGCGACGAUCAGUAGCCGGCCUGAGAGGGUGAACGGCCACAUUGGGACUGAGACACGGCCCAGACUCCUACGGGAGGCAGCAGUGGGGAAUAUUGCACAAUGGGCGAAAGCCUGAUGCAGCGACGCCCGCGUGAGUGAAGAAGUAUUUCGGUAUGUAAAGCUCUAUCAGCAGGGAAGAAAGGCCCGAAAGGGAGAUGACGGUACCUGACUAAGAAGCCCCGGCUAACUACGUGCCAGCCGCCGC